GAUGCUUCUCGGCCCUUUGGCUAAGAACAAGUGUAGUGUCUGCUUUUAUCAGUUUAAUAUCUGAUAUGUCCUCUAUCCGAGGACAAUUUAUUAAAUGGAUUUUUGGAGCUGGGACCUGGGAUGGAAGCUUACCGCCCACUCCACAAACUGACCUUGUAUUGCAGUACCUCCAGGGUCAGUGCGGGGAAG